rnacentral:rRNA from 1 species
GACGAACGCUGGCGGCGUGCUUAACACAUGCAAGUCGAACGGAAAGGCCCUGCUUUUGUGGGGUGCUCGAGUGGCGAACGGGUGAGUAACACGUGAGUAACCUGCCCUUGACUUUGGGAUAACUUCAGGAAACUGGGGCUAAUACCGGAUAGGAGCUCCUGCUGCAUGGUGGGGGUUGGAAAGUUUCGGCGGUUGGGGAUGGACUCGCGGCUUAUCAGCUUGUUGGUGGGGUAGUGGCUUACCAAGGCUUUGACGGGUAGCCGGCCUGAGAGGGUGACCGGCCACAUUGGGACUGAGAUACGGCCCAGACUCCUACGGGAGGCGGCAGUGGGGAAUAUUGCACAAUGGGCGGAAGCCUGAUGCAGCAACGCCGCGUGCGGGAUGACGGCCUUCGGGUUGUAAACCGCUUUCGCCUGUGACGAAGCGUGAGUGACGGUAAUGUGUAAAGAAGCACCGGCUAACUACGUG